rfam:Synechococcus sp. RS9916 scf_1100013018508 genomic scaffold, whole genome shotgun sequence.
GUGCGGGCCUCUGCUCGCACACUCCUCACACCCCCCGGCCCGGCGCGAUCGGGCUUU